rnacentral:rRNA from 1 species
GACGAACGCUGGCGGCGUGCUUAACACAUGCAAGUCGAACGGAAAGGCCCUGCUUUUGUGGGGUGCUCGAGUGGCGAACGGGUGAGUAACACGUGAGUAACCUGCCCUUGACUUUGGGAUAACUUCAGGAAACUGGGGCUAAUACCGGAUAGGAGCUCCUGCUGCAUGGUGGGGGUUGGAAAGUUUCGGCGGUUGGGGAUGGACUCGCGGCUUAUCAGCUUGUUGGUGGGGUAGUGGCUUACCAAGGCUUUGACGGGUAGCCGGCCUGAGAGGGUGACCGGCCACAUUGGGACUGAGAUACGGACCAGACUGCUACGGGAGGCAGCAGUGGGGAAUAUUGCACAAUGGGCGGAAGCCUGAUGCAGCAACGCCGCGUGCGGGAUGACGGCCUUCGGGUUGUAAACAGCUUUCGCCUGUGACGAAGCGUGAGUGACGGUAAUGGGUAAAGAAGCACCGGCUAACUACGUG